GUUAUAUGGUCAAGUGAAGAAGCGCAUACGGUGGAUGCCUUGGCAGUCAGAGGCGAUGAAAGACGUGGUAGCCUGCGAAAAGCUUCGGGGAGUCGGCAAACAGACUUUGAUCCGGAGAUCUCUGAAUGGGGGAACCCACCUAGGAUAACCUAGGUAUCUUGUACUGAAUCCAUAGGUGCAAGAGGCGAACCAGGGGAACUGAAACAUCUAAGUACCCUGAGGAAAAGAAAUCAACCGAGAUUCCCUUAGUAGUGGCGAGCGAACGGGGAUUAGCCCUUAAGCUUCAUUGAUUUUAGCGGAACGCUCUGGAAAGUGCGGCCAUAGUGGGUGAUAGCCCCGUACGCGAAAGGAUCUUUGAAGUGAAAUCGAGUAGGACGGAGCACGAGAAACUUUGUCUGAACAUGGGGGGACCAUCCUCCAAGGCUAAAUACUACUGACUGACCGAUAGUGAACCAGUACCGUGAGGGAAAGGCGAAAAGAACCCCGGAGAGGGGAGUGAAAUAGAACCUGAAACCGUAUGCGUACAAGCAGUGGGAGCCUACUUGUUAGGUGACUGCGUACCUUUUGUAUAAUGGGUCAGCGACUUAUAUUCAGUGGCAAGCUUAACCGUAUAGGGUAGGCGUAGCGAAAGCGAGUCUUAAUAGGGCGUUUAGUCGCUGGGUAUAGACCCGAAACCGGGCGAUCUAUCCAUGAGCAGGUUGAAGGUUAGGUAACACUGACUGGAGGACCGAACCCACUCCCGUUGAAAAGGUAGGGGAUGACUUGUGGAUCGGAGUGAAAGGCUAAUCAAGCUCGGAGAUAGCUGGUUCUCCUCGAAAGCUAUUUAGGUAGCGCCUCAUGUAUCAUCUCUGGGGGUAGAGCACUGUUUCGGCUAGGGGGUCAUCCCGACUUACCAAACCGAUGCAAACUCCGAAUACCCAGAAGUGCCGAGCAUGGGAGACACACGGCGGGUGCUAACGUCCGUCGUGAAAAGGGAAACAACCCAGACCGCCAGCUAAGGUCCCAAAGUUGUGGUUAAGUGGUAAACGAUGUGGGAAGGCUUAGACAGCUAGGAGGUUGGCUUAGAAGCAGCCACCCUUUAAAGAAAGCGUAAUAGCUCACUAGUCGAGUCGGCCUGCGCGGAAGAUGUAACGGGGCUCAAACCACACACCGAAGCUGCGGGUGUCACGUAAGUGACGCGGUAGAGAGCGUUCUGUAAGCCUGUGAAGGUGAGUUGAGAAGCUUGCUGGAGGUAUCAGAAGUGCGAAUGCUGACAUGAGUAACGACAAUGGGUGUGAAAAACACCCACGCCGAAAGACCAAGGGUUCCUGCGCAACGUUAAUCGACGCAGGGUUAGUCGGUUCCUAAGGCGAGGCUGAAAAGCGUAGUCGAUGGGAAACAGGUUAAUAUUCCUGUACUUCUGGUUACUGCGAUGGAGGGACGGAGAAGGCUAGGCCAGCUUGGCGUUGGUUGUCCAAGUUUAAGGUGGUAGGCUGAAAUCUUAGGUAAAUCCGGGGUUUCCAAGGCCGAGAGCUGAUGACGAGUCGUCUUUUAGAUGACGAAGUGGUUGAUGCCAUGCUUCCAAGAAAAGCUUCUAAGCUUCAGGUAACCAGGAACCGUACCCCAAACCGACACAGGUGGUCGGGUAGAGAAUACCAAGGCGCUUGAGAGAACUCGGGUGAAGGAACUAGGCAAAAUGGCACCGUAACUUCGGGAGAAGGUGCGCCGGCUAGGGUGAAGGAUUUACUCCGUAAGCUCUGGCUGGUCGAAGAUACCAGGCCGCUGCGACUGUUUAUUAAAAACACAGCACUCUGCAAACACGAAAGUGGACGUAUAGGGUGUGACGCCUGCCCGGUGCCGGAAGGUUAAUUGAUGGGGUUAGCGCAAGCGAAGCUCUUGAUCGAAGCCCCGGUAAACGGCGGCCGUAACUAUAACGGUCCUAAGGUAGCGAAAUUCCUUGUCGGGUAAGUUCCGACCUGCACGAAUGGCGUAACGAUGGCGGCGCUGUCUCCACCCGAGACUCAGUGAAAUUGAAAUCGCUGUGAAGAUGCAGUGUAUCCGCGGCUAGACGGAAAGACCCCGUGAACCUUUACUGUAGCUUUGCACUGGACUUUGAGCCUGCUUGUGUAGGAUAGGUGGGAGGCUUUGAAGCGUGGACGCCAGUUCGCGUGGAGCCAUCCUUGAAAUACCACCCUGGCAUGCUUGAGGUUCUAACUCUGGUCCGUGAUCCGGAUCGAGGACAGUGUAUGGUGGGCAGUUUGACUGGGGCGGUCUCCUCCUAAAGAGUAACGGAGGAGUACGAAGGUGCGCUCAGACCGGUCGGAAAUCGGUCGCAGAGUAUAAAGGCAAAAGCGCGCUUGACUGCGAGACAGACACGUCGAGCAGGUACGAAAGUAGGUCUUAGUGAUCCGGUGGUUCUGUAUGGAAGGGCCAUCGCUCAACGGAUAAAAGGUACUCCGGGGAUAACAGGCUGAUACCGCCCAAGAGUUCAUAUCGACGGCGGUGUUUGGCACCUCGAUGUCGGCUCAUCACAUCCUGGGGCUGAAGCCGGUCCCAAGGGUAUGGCUGUUCGCCAUUUAAAGUGGUACGCGAGCUGGGUUUAGAACGUCGUGAGACAGUUCGGUCCCUAUCUGCCGUGGACGUUUGAGAUUUGAGAGGGGCUGCUCCUAGUACGAGAGGACCGGAGUGGACGAACCUCUGGUGUUCCGGUUGUCACGCCAGUGGCAUUGCCGGGUAGCUAUGUUCGGAAAAGAUAACCGCUGAAAGCAUCUAAGCGGGAAACUUGCCUCAAGAUGAGAUCUCACUGGGAACUUGAUUCCCCUGAAGGGCGUCGAAGACUACGACGUUGAUAGGCUGGUGUGUAAGCGUUGUGAGGCGUUGAGCUAACCAGUACUAAUUGCCCGUGAGGCUUGACCAUAUAACACCCAAACA
rnacentral:rRNA from 1 species